rnacentral:rRNA from 1 species
AGAGCAUGACACACCAUUGCAGCUUCACAUAACAACAUAACCAGUCAACGGCAAGAGCCAUCAUAAGUCAUAGUCUAACCGAAAUAACAAGAGAAACGGAAAGAACAAAGCUAAACACGUAUAACCGAUUGUGUACCAACAAAUACUCGAGAAGGGAAUUAUAAUAACCAACGAACCUGGAACACCACGAAAAACAUUUAAGCCUUGCUCAAUACGCUCUCAAGAUAUGUAUGGAUACCUGGCUCUACGGGUAACGGAGAAUAGGGUUCGAUUCGGAAAAGAGCCUGAAAAACGGCUACUACAUCUAAGGAAGGCAGCAGGCGCGUAAAUUACCCAAUCCUGACUCAGGGGAGGUAGUGACAAGAUAUAACAACGUGAAGUCAAAUUCGCGAUUGGUAGUGAGGUUAUUCCAAACCGAAAUUCGAGUACGAUUGGAGGACAAGUCUUGGUGCCAGCACCCGCGGUAAUUCCAGCUCCAAUAGCGUAUAUUAAAGUUGUUG